GCUCCCCUCUUGCCGUGUAUUCGCUUGCUUUCUGCUUCUGCUCCUCGCGAUUCUCCUGCUCGCGAGUCACGAUCAUCUCGCCGGUUUCUGCUAGGAUGAGACUCUCAGUUUUUCUAAGACAAGCAUGUUCCAUAGCUGUGUGGUGUUUUGCAUAUUUCACAGCUGCAGUUCUGCUUUCCAUUCACUUCUUCAAUAUCCGUCCAAUCUUCUCAAACUAGUAAAUAUUGGAUGUUCACAGAAGUUGCGGAUCAGUUACUUUCAAUAAGGUUGCUGGUUCAUUGCACUUGCUAGAAAGAUUAAUUUGCUACAAACUAUUCUGCUGCUAACUGUACCAAUUUUGAUGAGGACAUGAAAACGUUGUAUCUGAUCAUCCUUUUUUAUAGACUAAACCAUUUAGCAAAUUGUGUAUUUAACUAUAAUCAAAGUCUGUAGAAUGUUAAAUAAGUGAUUACUGGAUAGAAUUUGAAGAUAGAUGUUUGUUCUUUGUGGUAAA